UCUUAGUGGUUAUGGUUGCGAGGACAUUUGCGACGGUCCACCGGGUCCAAAUUGUGCAAACAACUCUUUCCUCUUCAUCCCCAAUAACCCCAUCAAACCUGUUGACUACAAAAAAGUUAAUGGCCUCAACGAUGCCCUAGUUGACUAUCUCGCCUUACUCAAUAACCUAGGCUCUCUUUCCUCGAUCGAUAAUUUCAUCUUUUCCUGUGCCCGAACUGGUUUUCUGAAAGGCCUGGCUAAGGGUGUAACUGGCUUAGCCUCCCUGGGCAACUCAAACCUCUCAAUCCCAGUACAGAUCAAUAAAGCCUUCUCUUCCUCUCCAAAUUGUUUUGCUAUGUGCUUGUCAGGAUCCAUCUCUCAACCUGGUGUGGCUCUUUUCGGUAGUAAGGGGCCUUAUAAUUUCUUGCAUGGAAUUGACCUCUCAAAAUCACUUCUUUACACUCCUCUUAUUUUUAACCCGUUUGGAAAAGAUUUUGAUCCGUAUUCCCACAGAUCUCCUGAGUAUUAUGUAGGGCUGACUUCCAUAAAAGUGAACGGAAAGAUGGUGGCUUUUAACAAAGCGCUGUUGGCCUUUAAUGAUCGAGGUUAUGGGGGGGACCAGGAUUAGCACUGUUGUGCCAUACACGAAGUUACAGAGUUCUAUUUACAAGGCUUUUACCCUGGCUUUCUUGAAGGAAGCAGCUUCCUCUGCUUUCAAUCUUACUACAACAAAGCCUGUCAAGCCAUUCAGAGUCUGCUACCCUGCGGGUGCUGUGAAGACUACACAAAUGGGACCGGCUGUACCAAUAAUCGAACUUGUGUUGGAUAGACAAGAUGUGGUUUGGAAGAUGUUUGGAUCGAACUCUAUGGUGAGGGUUACGAAGAAGAGUGUCGAUGUUUGGUGCUUGGGUUUUGUGGAUGGUGGGAUUGAUGGCCCAUCGAUCAUGAUUGGUGGUCUUCAGUUGGAGGACAAUUUGCUACAAUUCGAUCUACAGUCACAGAAACUGGGUUUCAGUUCAUCAAUUUUGUCCAAGGGGACCAAUUGCGCAGACUACGAAUUUCCUACCAGAAAAGUUUAAAAAGAUGAUGUAUUUAUACCAUCCACCAUGUACUGUAUGCAUGCUUUCGUUGAGUUUUUCUACCUUCGUUGAGCUAAGGGGCAAAGACAGGCCUAUCUAGCUUUGUAAUAAAAGUCCGUGUUCUCAAAUAAAUGAAUUUAAAUUUCACAUAAUUAUUGUGUCGUUGUGGUCAACUUAAAUUUAAAACAACUGUUGCGACCAAGUUAAGUCAUCAAAAUAUGCUCCACUCAUGCAAUAGUAAGCAAUUGCACCUCUGCGACUACCACUACAAACAUCGAUGAGAAUUAUGAAAGCCCUUUUGAGUGCUUGACUUCUUUGACUUUUGAUGACGAUGAUGAACUCAACCCAUUUUAUUUUCCAAAUCUUGCUGCUAAGCCAAGAAACAACAAUUGUUUACAAGAAUUGCAAGAUUCUUACAAGUCCUUUUCUCCUAGCUUCACCACCAGUAUUGGUCUUCAAGAGAAUAAUAAUAAUAAUAAUAAUAAUAAUCGUAGCUCCUCCAAUUCUGAUUUUGGGGUCAUUUUUAGUGGCCAGAAUCAACAACUUGCACGACAAUGUAAGGAAGAGGAGAUGGGUUCCCAUAACUGUUGCUCUUUUUUUUUCUUUGGCAACUCCAUUUUUAAUCCACACAAGAGACUGCUUUCACAUUUCUCUACUACGUUUGUAAAUGAUACUCGCAACGUGGCAAUUCAAUUCCAUCCUAUAAUUAAAAACAAUUGCUUGAAACAGAUGUAAGGAACUAUCAGAUGAAAAUCAUACAAAAUCAGAAUUAAAGACACUCAAGGCACAGUGAAAGUGAGGAAAUUAAGGAAUCUUCCUAAAAUAAAUGACAGUUCAAUGCCUAAGGCUAACAGAUUGAUAAAUUGGAUCAAAAUGUCUUUCACUAUUAUUGGUGCUCACAACAUGGUUAUGGCUUCUUCCAUUUUUGUCAGACUUUAAUGAACUUAUAUGCAAUCACCUCACAUAUAGACAUAGGAGUGUAUCCAGAGGUUCAGAAACAUACCAAUCCUGUGAAUGUAUGAAGCAGCACAAUCUGGGAAAUCAUAAUUAAUCACACACUUGACACCUUUGAAAUCCAUACCCCGACCAAGCACAUCAGUUGCAAUCAAAACCCAUGUCUUUCCAGCUCUGAAGUCAUCGAUUACACUCUCUCGCUGAGUUCAAUGAAAAAGACCAGUGUAAAGUACUAUAACUGCUAGGAUAACUAAGUAACAGGAAUCUAUGAUAUUAAAUGCCACGAACAAUGAAACAGAUUCAGCAGAGUUCUGGAAGGCCCUGCAAGAGUGGGCACCAGGAUCUUCAUUGAUUUUCCUUCUUCACAUUAUUGAUUACCAAAGAAUGCAAGCUUGACCAUAUAAAUGGAACUCCAAGUGCCGUGACGCUUUGUAAAUUGCAAACACUACCUUUUAAAUAAAAAUUCAUCAUGGUCUUAAAAGCAUGUUUAAAAAAAAAAUUUAAAACAAAGUCUUGACAUUUUAUAUAUAAUUAAAGAUUAAAAAAUAUUAUAAAUGUGAUAAAAUUAUUUAAAAAAUAGUUAAAUUGUUAUUUUUCUUUGAGGUUUUAUCGGUUAAAUAGUUAAAUUGUAACCUAACCGGCUAGCCCUAACAAUUAACAUAACCUUCCUCUUCCUGCCUCUCACAAAAAGCUGCCUCUUGCCCAGAGAAAUUCUCAAUCUUCCUCUCAAUUAAUUCCCAAUCUUCCUUUCUCAGUUUCCUCUCAAUGCAUGUUGUGGACUUGAGUCAAUAGGCUCCCAAAAAAGUCGUCUAAAUCAGCCGAUAGUCGUGAUGGAAGCGGAACAUCUACCUCCUCAUCAAAUGCUUCUACAAGCUCAAGAAACAGUGAUCUAGUCAGUAAAGCAAGAAUAGGCUGACAUCAUCAUUUUUUGGAUUUGCUACAUGAAUUAGUUCAGUGAGGGGGGCCAUAGCAAACUUCAAGCUAACAGAACUAAUGCCUCACUCAUCUACUAACUAUUAUAUUUCUUUAUCUUGCUGAAGUGUUUGGGAACAUCAGUUAGACCAGACCGUAGAGUAUGGCUCCCCGUAUCGUGUCUUUUUGGUAGUUUCGAUCAAGGAAUUGAAACCGAAACAAAUCUUCUUCACUCUGCUGAACGAAUGAGUCUAAAUGAUGGGAUUAGGUUUCCCGGUUUUUUGCCAAAAAAACCGGAUUUAACCGAACUGGACCGGUUCGGUUUGAACCAGUUUUCGGUCCGAUUCGAUUAAUAUUUCACAAAAUUAAUGUAAUUUGGUUCGGUUGGUUUUUUUAGUCUAAACCGAACCGAACCGAACCGUGAACACCCCUAGUGUUAACAACAUGCAUGGAGUUGUAAAUGACAACAGUAAUCCUUAUAGGACUAUGGUUAUGGAUACGAUGAGAAUAAAUCAAAGUCAUGUCACUCAAUGUCCAAUCAUAGAUGAAGAACCUAAUACAGACAUGGAUAGGUUUUUUUUAUCUUCUGAAAGAUUCUGACGAACCAUUAUGGGAUGUCUACACAAAUCAUAGUAAAUUAUCGGUCGUUGCACAAGUACUCUACCAUCAAGUCAGAUUAUGGAUUAAGUGAGGCCGGUUAUGACAGAAUUGUCGAAUAGGCUGAAAGAGAACUUCUAUGUUAUUAAGUCCAUAAUGAAACCCCUCGGUCUAAGCUACUAGAAAAUUGACAUGUGUCUAAACUUCUGCAUAUUGUACUCCCUUGAAAAUGUCAAGCUGACCAAGUGCAGGACAUGUAGCAUUCCUAUUAUAAACAAUUGCAAACUUGAGAUGAUAUUCCCUCCAUCGUUUUUUGACUCAAUGGAGCAUCUACCCAUACAUUUGCCAUAUGAGGCAAAAUUUAGAGGUUUAGUCCAAUAUAGAUUGAUGUAUAGAUGUUAGAGAUUACACAUGCAUUGUAAUUAAAAAUGUAUUUCAUUGUUUAUUGUUAAUUGAAAACAUUUGUUUAAUUCCAGGUACCUAUUCAACCUUAAAAAAUUGUUAAAAACAAGGUGUAUGUUGAAGCUUUAUCUUGUAUGAUUUUAUGAGUCAACUCAUGAUUUUGUCAGCAUUGAACCCAAUAUAAUUAAAAAAAAUGACAAACAUGCAACCAGCAACUUUGCGAAACACUAACUAAAUCUCAAUGAUUUUGUUGUUCACCUUCGUAUAGGUAGAUUGGUGGGUUAAACUAAUAAAUACACCACCAUGGCAUGAACAGUUAUUUUUUGUAUGCAAACCUAGUUUUAAUUAAAGAAUAUAUAAAUUACCAAAAAAAAAUACAAAUUUGCAAAAUUAGGGAAUAUAUCUGCAUUGACGAAAAGUCAAAUACGUUUCUCCAAUAUAUAUUUUUUAACUAAUCAUUUAUAUCAACUUUUAGGAAACCAUGUUGUGUUAUCCAUGAAGACACACACUCACAGAAUGCUACAAGUUGCUUCUUUAUCCGAGUCAAAUCAAUUACAGUAGGCAAAAUUCCUAAGCGGUAUGCCGUCAUGUGCAGCACACGGAGAGAUCUUGAGAUUCAUCGCCGGCAGAACAGAACAUGCACGUACUUCCAAUGUAACACAGGGCUCCAUGCCAACUCUAUAAAUGACUCUCACAUGAUUAUCUAGAUCAUAAUUAAUCCUGCUCUCAACAACACUCGAAACAAUUAUCAAUGGCAAAGCUAGCAGUCCCUCUUCUGAUUUUUUUCUUCCUCUUAUCGUGUAUCCCUUCUCAAGCAGCUCCUCCCCUCCAAACGCCCCUCCAAACGCCAAUCCAGAAGGACCAUUCAACCGGCCAAUAUAUCAUCACUGCAUACCUAAAAACCCCUCUCAUGCCCACCAAAUUGGUCUUGGAUCUUGGUGCUACAUACAGCUGGGUAAAUUGCGACGACUACAUUUCCUCCACUUACCAACAUGUCCCCUGUAACAGUUCCAUCGCUAAUUCUCUUGGUUCUUAUGGUUGCGUGGAGAUUUGCGACGGUCCACCGGGUCCAAAUUGUGCAAACAACUCUUUCUUCUUCCUCCCCGAUAACCCCAUCAAACCUGUUGACUACAAAAAAGUUAAUGGCCUCAACGACGCCCUGGUUGACUAUCUCGCCUUGCUCAAUAACCUAGGCUCUCUUUCCUCGAUCGAUAAUUUCAUCUUUUCCUGUGCCCGAACUGGUUUUCUGAAAGGCCUG
rnacentral:lncRNA from 1 species